CGCCCGCUAGUGCCAUAUUCUGGUGCAGAGGCCCCAAGAGUGGGAAAAAACUGAAAGGCCCAUCAAGUAUGAAAGUCGUAGCAAUGAAAACGCCUUCAGGUUUCAGAACUCGACUAAUUUCAGCUACAGCUGCUGAUGGUGAAGGCCAACAGUGUAUAGCAGCACCAGCAUGGACAGCAUCAACAGAGCCAGAAAGAAAAGGAAGUCUAGAGAUAUCUGCUCUGACCAAUAUUAGGUUCUCUUUAGGAAAGUUUUCCUCCUGCAUGAUGAAUUCAUAGCACUGC
rnacentral:misc_RNA from 1 species